rnacentral:rRNA from 1 species
AGAGUUUGAUCCUGGCUCAGAAUCAACGCUGGCGGCGUGCCUAACACAUGCAAGUCGAACGAGAAAGUGGAGCAAUCCAUGAGUACAGUGGCGUACGGGUGAGUAACACGUGACUAACCUACCCUCGAGUGGGGAAUAACCUCGGGAAACCGGGGCUAAUACCGCAUAACAUCUACGGAUCAAAUGCGCAAGCAGCUUGAGGAGGGGGUCGCGGCCGAUUAGCUAGUUGGCGGGGUAAUGGCCCACCAAGGCAAUGAUCGGUAGCCGGCCUGAGAGGGCGCACGGCCACACUGGAACUGAAACACGGUCCAGACUCCUACGGGAGGCAGCAGUGGGGAAUUUUGCGCAAUGGGGGAAACCCUGACGCAG